GUUUGAUAGUCACAAUGAACAUCCGCUUUUCGUCCCGUAUUGGUUAUUCAAUUAAAUGUUUCCCGCGUUAAUUUGAACUUAUAUCAUAUUUUAUGAUGCGUUAGACAGAUGGAUCAAAUAAGUUUACAAAAAUUGAUUUCAUUAACUGAGUCUUGAACUAUUAUUUCUAACAAUAUGUUAAGGUUUGUUUUAUUACUUAAAAAUAUGAUUUUUACGUCAGAAAGAAAAAAAACGCGGGCUGAUAAACAUCAUCUGUGUUCCGGUGUUUGUUCCGGUAUUUGGAUUGGUCAAGCCAAGGCCGACUGCUCACGGAAUGAUCCGAACACUGAACUUUCAAACGUGUUUAUCAAUAUGGCGUGCCGAUGUUUGAAUUUGAUCGUUACUUGUUAGCACAUUAGAAAAGUUUGAGAAACACUUGUAAAGUUUUAUUAUUUACAGACAAAAUUGAUUGCUACUGUUUCAAAGAAAAUAUUGACUAAGGUAGUUUUUACGACGUGUAGUUAAUAUGGAGAAUUUCGUGAAGAUUGAGAAGAUCGGCGAAGGUACUUAUGGAGUGGUGUAUAAAGGAAAGCAUAAGAAAACAGGAGAAAUUGUAGCUAUGAAAAAGAUUCGUUUAGAAAGCGAUGAAGAAGGUAUGCCAUCAACAGCAAUUCGUGAGAUUUCAUUGCUUAAAGAACUACCACAUCCAAAUAUUGUUAGGCUGAUGGAUGUAUUAAUGGAAGAAACUAGAUUGUAUCUUAUUUUUGAGUAUCUCACUAUGGAUUUAAAAAAAUAUAUGGAUAGUUUAGAGAGUGGCAAAUUAAUGGAACCAAAAAUGGUUAAAUCUUACUUAUAUCAGAUCACAAGUGCUAUUCUUUUCUGUCAUAAACGAAGAAUCUUGCAUCGUGAUUUGAAACCUCAAAAUUUAUUGAUUGAUAAAUCAGGGGUGAUAAAAGUAGCUGAUUUUGGUCUUGGCAGAGCUUUUGGUAUCCCAGUCAGGGUCUAUACACAUGAAGUAGUUACUUUGUGGUAUAGAGCUCCAGAAAUCCUUCUUGGUGCCAGUAGAUAUUCGUGCGCUAUUGAUAUCUGGAGUAUAGGUUGCAUAUUUGCAGAAAUGGCAACAAAGAAACCACUAUUUCAAGGAGAUAGUGAAAUUGAUCAAUUAUUCAGAAUAUUUCGGAUACUAAGGACACCCACUGAAGAAAUAUGGCCUGGUGUGUCACAGUUAUCUGAUUAUAAGGCCACCUUUCCAAAUUGGAUUACUAAUAAUUUGGAAUCACAAGUUAAAACAUUAGAUACAGAUGGGCUUGAUCUUUUGCAAGCAAUGCUUGUCUAUGAUCCAGUACACAGAAUAUCAGCACGAGCCGCUUUAAAACAUCCUUAUUUUAAUGAUUUAGAUACCUCGAAAUUACCGCCAGCAUAAAGUGAAAAAACUACUGAAAAUGGUAAAUGUAUGUUUCUCAGAAACUUGUGGCGUUUUAAUUGUGUGAACAUAUAGAGAGUAUGUCUUAGUGUGUAUCAGAAAACUAAUUUAUUUAUAUGUAAGAACUCAUUUAAGUUUCUCUUUUAUGACAUUACUCAUUUCAUGUUAGAAAGUUGCAUAUUGUAAUGAUAUUUAAUUUUGACAUUACAUAUAAAGUUUGUUAACUGAACUAUGUUAUAAAACUUACACUAACAUGUUUGAGCAAAAAAUGUGCUGUAGUAGAUGGAUACUUCAGCAAUUUAUCUUUGCAACAUAAAAAAAGCAAAUUGAUGAAUAAGGUAGUAUAACAAUAUUAUGUACUCCUUAGUAUUUAGUUUAACUUACUCUUUAUGGUUAUGAUAUACCAAUUUAAAUCAAAAUGUGAAAUUAUAAAUAUCUUUAGUUGUCUUGCUACGGAUGAAAUAAAAAAAAUUAUAUUUUUAUUAUUUAUAAUGUAUUAUUAGAGCUGCGUUUUUGACAAAGGCAGCAUAUUUGGAAAUAUUAAUAAUUCAGCUUUGGCUACACCGUUACUGCCAUGUGUACAUAUCAUUGAAAAAUUCACACGCUUACUAAAAUAUAUAUAUCUUUUGUAUUUUUAUUAUCAAAUAAACGAUGAUAUCAUUUAAAAGUUCAGUACUUUCACUAGGACUUUAAUAACAUUAGACAGUACACAUUUGUACCGCUGUUUUUCCGCAGUGUGACGUCGUCUUUUAUCUUGUAACGUGUAAAUUAAGUUACAUUACUACGGAGAAACGAAAAGAAACGAAACCGUACGUGGUAUUACAGCGAUUCUCAGAAUGAUCAACUUGAUUCACUUAUGGAUGACUCAUGUACAGCAAUGUAACGACAUUGUGUGGUACCCGCAUCUUUCAAAAAAACACAAGAAAUAGUUUUAGUGAAAAUACUUGUACAAAAUUUAGAAAAUAAUGCGUUUCACAUACUGCACGGCUAACAAGAAUGAAGUGCAAUUAUAAUGGAAGAAUAAAAUUGGAGAACUUAAAAUAAAUUAUCAUUGUAACAAAAGAAUCAAUAUUCUAAUUAUAGUGCAACACAGAAAAUUAUUUUGUACAUAAGUAAAGAAUUUCUUUUAAUUUUUGAGGAGAACAUGUUGGAUCACCGCACGUAGUCCAUUCAAAGCGUGCGUGACCUAUAAUUGGAUUCAGAGUGGGGUAUGUCUCAUAAAAUCCUUCUCCAUUGAAUCCACUGUUUACAGUACCAGUUAAGAGACUGACAACAUCACUUCACG